rnacentral:rRNA from 1 species
UACAGAGGGUGCAAGCGUUAAUCGGAAUUACUGGGCGUAAAGCGCGCGUAGGUGGUUUGGUAAGUCGGUUGUGAAAUCCCCGGGCUUAACCUGGGAAUUGCAGUCGAUACUGCCUGACUCGAGUGUGGGAGAGGGAAGCGGAAUUUCCGGUGUAGCGGUGAAAUGCGUAGAUAUCGGAAGGAACACCAGUGGCGAAGGCGGCUUCCUGGCCCAACACUGACACUGAGGCGCGAAAGCGUGGGUAGCGAACAGG